AUUGAACGCUGGCGGCAGGCCUAACACAUGCAAGUCGAGCGAGCGGCGGACGGGUGGGUAAUGUAUGGGGACUGCCCGAUAGAGGGGGAUAACUACGGGAAACGGAAGCUAGUAACGCAUAUUAUCGGAUAACCCAUAUGGGAUGAGCUAGUAGGUGAGGUAAUGGCUCACCUAGGCGACGGUCCCUAGCUGGUCUGAGAGGAUGAUCGGCCACACUGGGACUGAGACACGGCCCAGACUCCUACGGAGGCAGCAGUGGGGAAUAUUGCACAAUGGGCGCAAGCCUGAUGCAGCCAUGCCGCGUGUAUGAUGAAGGCCUUCGGGUUGUAAAGUACUUUUGGCAGAGAAGCGGUAUCUGCAGAAUAAGCACCGGCUAACUACGUGCCAGCAGCCGCGGUAAUUC
rnacentral:rRNA from 1 species